UGGGGCGUGGUGCAAUGGUAGCAUACCGGACUUUGAAUCCGUUGAUCCUGGUUCGAGUCCAGGCGCCCCGG
rnacentral:tRNA from 1 species